rnacentral:lncRNA from 1 species
CUUUGUAAAAAGUUAUAGUUCACUAAAGUUGAAAGAAACAAACGAAAGUGUCAAAAACCUAAGAAUUGGUAGUUCAGUAAAGUUGAAGAAGAAACUAAAGUGUCAAAAUCCUAAAAUAAACAAAACAUGACUGACGCAACCUAGUGAUGUGGUUUGAUAUAUAUUAGAUGUAUGCAUAUGUAAACACACAUUUGUUAAACUUAACUAUAAAAUGUAAAAAGUGAUAAGUUGGGUUAAAGAAAAAAUUACUUUAAUGUUGUUACGUAUUUCAAAUUGACUGAUAAUUUGUGUGGUGUUUUCUUCUUUGUAAAAAGUUGUAGUUCACUAAAGUUGAAACAAACAAAUGAAAGUGUCAAAAACCUAAGAAUUGGUAGUUCAGUAAAGAUGAAGGGAAGAAACUAAAGUGUCAAAAACCUAAACACAAAACAUGGCUUGCACAAUCUAUGUCAAAAACCUAAGAAUUGGUAGUUCAGUAAAGUUGAAAGGAAGAAACUAA